CUGUACACUAGUGUACUUGUUUCUUGGAAGAGAAUCUCUAAGAUCAGGAUCAACAGCAAAUAAUUGCAUUUGGCAUUCCCAUUUGCUUACACCUUCCGUAGGGGAUGCAGUGUAUUUAGCUUACAUUGGACACGUCAUUUCUCACACAAACGUUCUUCAAAGGGACACCGGGCUUCCUGCCUGCACAAAGUGGCACUUCGAAGAGAAGGAGCUGUCAACGCCGAAAUGCUGUGCUUGGUUUGCACCACUCCAGGGUUUAAAACAGAACAAAGAAAAACUUUUCAAAUACACAGAACAGUGUGGAGUUCUACAACAUUAUAAAGAAAC
ensembl:lncRNA